CGUUCUGUAAGCCUGCGAAGGUGUGCUGUGAGGCAUGCUGGAGGUAUCAGAAGUGCGAAUGCUGACAUAAGUAACGAUAAAGCGGGUGAAAAGCCCGCUCGCCGGAAGACCAAGGGUUCCUGUCCAACGUUAAUCGGGGCAGGGUGAGUCGACCCCUAAGGCGAGGCCGAAAGGCGUAGUCGAUGGGAAACAGGUUAAUAUUCCUGUACUUGGUGUUACUGCGAAGGGGGGACGGAGAAGGCUAUGUUGGCCGGGCGACGGUUGUCCCGGUUUAAGCGUGUAGGCUGGUUUUCCAGGCAAAUCCGGAAAAUCAAGGCUGAGGCGUGAUGACGAGGCACUACGGUGCUGAAGCAACAAAUGCCCUGCUUCCAGGAAAAGCCUCUAAGCAUCAGGUAACAUCAAAUCGUACCCCAAACCGACACAGGUGGUCAGGUAGAGAAUACCAAGGCGCUUGAGAGAACUCGGGUGAAGGAACUAGGCAAAAUGGUGCCGUAACUUCGGGAGAAGGCACGCUGAUAUGUAGGUGAAGUCCCUCGCGGAUGGAGCUGAAAUCAGUCGAAGAUACCAGCUGGCUGCAACUGUUUAUUAAAAACACAGCACUGUGCAAACACGAAAGUGGACGUAUACGGUGUGACGCCUGCCCGGUGCCGGAAGGUUAAUUGAUGGGGUCAGCGCAAGCGAAGCUCUUGAUCGAAGCCCCGGUAAACGGCGGCCGUAACUAUAACGGUCCUAAGGUAGCGAAAUUCCUUGUCGGGUAAGUUCCGACCUGCACGAAUGGCGUAAUGAUGGCCAGGCUGUCUCCACCCGAGACUCAGUGAAAUUGAACUCGCUGUGAAGAUGCAGUGUACCCGCGGCAAGACGGAAAGACCCCGUGAACCUUUACUAUAGCUUGACACUGAACAUUGAGCCUUGAUGUGUAGGAUAGGUGGGAGGCUUUGAAGUGUGGACGCCAGUCUGCAUGGAGCCGACCUUGAAAUACCACCCUUUAAUGUUUGAUGUUCUAACGUUGACCCGUGAUCCGGGUUGCGGACAGUGUCUGGUGGGUAGUUUGACUGGGGCGGUCUCCUCCUAAAGAGUAACGGAGGAGCACGAAGGUUGGCUAAUCCUGGUCGGACAUCAGGAGGUUAGUGCAAUGGCAUAAGCCAGCUUGACUGCGAGCGUGACGGCGCGAGCAGGUGCGAAAGCAGGUCAUAGUGAUCCGGUGGUUCUGAAUGGAAGGGCCAUCGCUCAACGGAUAAAAGGUACUCCGGGGAUAACAGGCUGAUACCGCCCAAGAGUUCAUAUCGACGGCGGUGUUUGGCACCUCGAUGUCGGCUCAUCACAUCCUGGGGCUGAAGUAGGUCCCAAGGGUAUGGCUGUUCGCCAUUUAAAGUGGUACGCGAGCUGGGUUUAGAACGUCGUGAGACAGUUCGGUCCCUAUCUGCCGUGGGCGCUGGAGAACUGAGGGGGGCUGCUCCUAGUACGAGAGGACCGGAGUGGACGCAUCACUGGUGUUCGGGUUGUCAUGCCAAUGGCACUGCCCGGUAGCUAAAUGCGGAAGAGAUAAGUGCUGAAAGCAUCUAAGCACGAAACUUGCCCCGAGAUGAGUUCUCCCUGACUCCUUGAGAGUCCUGAAGGAACGUUGAAGACGACGACGUUGAUAGGCCGGGUGUGUAAGCGCAGCGAUGCGUUGAGCUAACCGGUACUAAUGAACCGUGAG
rnacentral:rRNA from 1 species